rnacentral:rRNA from 2 species
CUCUGAUGUUAGCGGCGGACGGGUGAGUAACACGUGGGUAACCUGCCUGUAAGACUGGGAUAACUCCGGGAAACCGGGGCUAAUACCGGAUGGUUGUUUGAACCGCAUGGUUCAAACAUAAAAGGUGGCUUCGGCUACCACUUACAGAUGGACCCGCGGCGCAUUAGCUAGUUGGUGAGGUAACGGCUCACCAAGGCAACGAUGCGUAGCCGACCUGAGAGGGUGAUCGGCCACACUGGGACUGAGACACGGCCCAGACUCCUACGGGAGGCAGCAGUAGGGAAUCUUCCGCAAUGGACGAAAGUCUGACGGAGCAACGCCGCGUGAGUGAUGAAGGUUUUCGGAUCGUAAAGCUCUGUUGUUAGGGAAGAACAAGUACCGUUCGAAUAGGGCGGUACCUUGACGGUACCUAACCAGAAAGCCACGGCUAACUACGUGCCAGCAGCCGCGGUAAUACGUAGGUGGCAAGCGUUGUCCGGAAUUAUUGGGCGUAAAGGGCUCGCAGGCGGUUUCUUAAGUCUGAUGUGAAAGCCCCCGGCUCAACCGGGGAGGGUCAUUGGAAACUGGGGAACUUGAGUGCAGAAGAGGAGAGUGGAAUUCCACGUGUAGCGGUGAAAUGCGUAGAGAUGUGGAGGAACACCAGUGGCGAAGGCGACUCUCUGGUCUGUAACUGACGCUGAGGAGCGAAAGCGUGGGGAGCGAACAGGAUUAGAUACCCUGGUAGUCCACGCCGUAAACGAUGAGUGCUAAGUGUUAGGGG